ACGGUCCUAAGGUAGCGAAAUUCCUUGUCAGGUAAGUUCUGACCCGCACGAAUGGCGUAAUGAUUUGGGCACUGUCUCGACAGCCCGCCCGGCGAAAUUGUAGUACUGGUGAAGAUGCCAGUUACCCGCAACUAGACGGAAAGACCCCAUGGAGCUUUACUGCAGUUUAAUACUGGGAAUCGGUAAUGCAUGUACAGGAUAGGUGGGAGACUAGGAAGCAUGGUCGUCAGGUCAUGUGGAGUCACCGGUGGGAUACCACUCUUGUAUUGCUGAUUUCCUAACCUGCGGCCGUGAAUCCGGUCGGGGGACACUGUUAGACGGGCAGUUUGACUGGGGCGGUCGCCUCCAAAAGAGUAACGGAGGCGCUCAAAGGUUCGUUCAGCACGGACGGAAAUCGUGCAUUGAGUGUAAACGCAUAAACGAGCCUAACUGCGAGACCGACGGGUCGAGCAGUAACGAAAGUUGGAGUUAGUGAUCCGGUGGUAUGUGAGUGGAAAUGCCAUCGCUCAACGGAUAAAAGCUACCCUGGGGAUAACAGGCUGAUCUCCCCCAAGCGUCCACAGCGACGGGGAGGUUUGGCACCUCGAUGUCGGCUCGUCGCAUCCUGGGGCUGUAUUCGGUCCCAAGGGUUUGGCUGUUCGCCAAUUAAAGCGGCACGCGAGCUGGGUUCAGAACGUCGUGAGACAGUUCGGUCCCUAUCUGUUGCGGGCGUAAGAGAUUUGAAGGGAGCUGUCCUUAGUACGAGAGGACCGGGAUGGACGUACCUCUGGUGCACCAGUUGUCCUGCCAAGGGCAUAGCUGGGUAGCUAUGUACGGACGAGAUAAACGCUGAAAGCAUCUAAGCGUGAAACUCCCCCUAAGAUGAGAUCUCUCAUCCUUUAUGGAGUAAGGGCCCAGAAAGACGAUCUGGUUGAUAGGCCGGAGGUGGAAGUGCAGCAAUGUAUGGAGCUGACCGGUACUAAUAGCCCGAGGGCUUGACCUA
rnacentral:rRNA from 1 species